rnacentral:rRNA from 1 species
CACUCCUGCGGGAGGCAGCAGUGGGGAAUUUUGGACAAUGGGCGAAAGCCUGAUCCAGCAAUGCCGCGUGAGUGAAGAAGGCCUUCGGGUUGUAAAGCUCUUUUGUCAGGGAAGAAACGGUGAGAGCUAAUAUCUCUUGCUAAUGACGGUACCUGAAGAAUAAGCACCGGCUAACUACGUGCCAGCAGCCGCGGUAAUACGUAGGGUGCAAGCGUUAAUCGGAAUUACUGGGCGUAAAGCGUGCGCAGGCGGUUUUGUAAGUCUGAUGUGAAAUCCCCGGGCUCAACCUGGGAAUUGCAUUGGAGACUGCAAGGCUAGAAUCUGGCAGAGGGGGGUAGAAUUCCACGUGUAGCAGUGAAAUGCGUAGAUAUGUGGAGGAACACCGAUGGCGAAGGCAGCCCCCUGGGUCAAGCUUGACGCUCAUGCACGAAAGCGUGGGGAGCAAACAGGAUUAGAAACCCGGGUAGUCCCAUGA